rnacentral:rRNA from 1 species
AUUAAACGCUGGCGGCAUGCCUUACACAUGCAAGUCGAACGGCAGCACGGGGGCAACCCUGGUGGCGAGUGGCGAACGGGUGAGUAAAGCAUCGGAACGUGCCCUGGAGUGGGGGAUAACGUAGCGAAAGUUACGCUAAUACCGCAUAUUCUGUGAGCAGGAAAGCAGGGGAUCGCAAGACCUUGCGCUUUGGGAGCGGCCGAUGUCGGAAUAGCUAGUUGGUGGGGUAAAGGCCUACCAAGGCGACGAUCCGUAGCGGGUCUGAGAGGAUGAUCCGCCACACUGGGACUGAGACACGGCCCAGACUCCUACGGGAGGCAGCAGUGGGGAAUUUUGGACAAUGGGCGCAAGCCUGAUCCAGCCAUGCCGCGUGAGUGAAGAAGGCCUCGGUGUAAGCUCUUCGUGGAGAAU